UAGUUCGAUCAUGGCUCAGGAUGAACGCUGGCGGCGUGCCUAACACAUGCAAGUCGAGCGAUUUACUUCGGUAAAGAGCGGCGGACGGGUGAGUAACGCGUGGGUAACCUGCCCUGUACACACGGAUAACAUACCGAAAGGUAUGCUAAUACGAGAUAAAAUACUUUUAUCGCAUGGUAGAAGUAUCAAAGCUUUUGCGGUACAGGAUGGACCCGCGUCUGAUUAGCUAGUUGGUAAGGUAACGGCUUACCAAGGCGACGAUCAGUAGCCGACCUGAGAGGGUGAUCGGCCACAUUGGAACUGAGACACGGUCCAAACUCCUACGGGAGGCAGCAGUGGGGAAUAUUGCACAAUGGGCGAAAGCCUGAUGCAGCAACGCCGCGUGAGCGAUGAAGGCCUUCGGGUCGUAAAGCUCUGUCCUCAAGGAAGAUAAUGACGGUACUUGAGGAGGAAGCCCCGGCUAACUACGUGCCAGCAGCCGCGGUAAUACGUAGGGGGCUAGCGUUAUCCGGAAUUACUGGGCGUAAAGGGUGCGUAGGUGGUUUCUUAAGUCAGAGGUGAAAGGCUACGGCUCAACCGUAGUAAGCCUUUGAAACUGGGGAACUUGAGUGCAGGAGAGGAGAGUGGAAUUCCUAGUGUAGAGGUGAAAUGCGUAGAUAUUAGGAGGAACACCAGUUGCGAAGGCGGCUCUCUGGACUGUAACUGACACUGAGGCACGAAAGCGUGGGGAGCAAACAGGAUUAGAUACCCUGGUAGUCCACGCCGUAAACGAUGAGUACUAGCUGUCGGAGGUUACCCCCUUCGGUGGCGCAGCUAACGCAUUAAGUACUCCGCCUGGGAAGUACGCUCGCAAGAGUGAAACUCAAAGGAAUUGACGGGGACCCGCACAAGUAGCGGAGCAUGUGGUUUAAUUCGAAGCAACGCGAAGAACCUUACCUAAGCUUGACAUCCUUUUGACCGAUGCCUAAUCGUAUCUUUCCCUUCGGGGACAGAAGUGACAGGUGGUGCAUGGUUGUCGUCAGCUCGUGUCGUGAGAUGUUGGGUUAAGUCCCGCAACGAGCGCAACCCUUGCCUUUAGUUGCCAGCAUUAAGUUGGGCACUCUAGAGGGACUGCCAGGGAUAACCUGGAGGAAGGUGGGGAUGACGUCAAAUCAUCAUGCCCCUUAUGCUUAGGGCUACACACGUGCUACAAUGGGUGGUACAGAGGGCAGCCAAGUCGUGAGGCGGAGCUAAUCCCUUAAAGCCAUUCUCAGUUCGGAUUGUAGGCUGAAACUCGCCUACAUGAAGCUGGAGUUACUAGUAAUCGCAGAUCAGAAUGCUGCGGUGAAUGCGUUCCCGGGUCUUGUACACACCGCCCGUCACACCACGGAAGUUGGGGGCGCCCGAAGCCACUUAGCUAACCCUUUUGGGAAGCGAGUGUCGAAGGUGAAAUCAAUAACUGGGGUGAAGUCGUAACAAGGUAUCC
rnacentral:rRNA from 1 species